CCUGGCUUAGGAUGAACGCUAGCGACAGGCCUAACACAUGCAAGUCGAGGGGCAGCGCGGGUAGCAAUACUCUGGCGGCGACCGGCGCACGGGUGCGUAACAGGUGUGCAAUCUGUCCAUAGUCGGGGGAUAGCCCAGCGAAAGCUGAAUUAACACUCCAUGUGAAUCGAAGCCGCAUGACUUUGAUUUGAAACGUAAGGACUAUGGGUGAGCACGCUUCUGAUUAGAUAGUUGGUGAGGUAACGGCUCACCAAGUCGACGAUCAGUAGGGGUUCUGAGAGGAAGGUCCCCCACAUUGGAACUGAGACACGGUCCAAACUCCUACGGGAGGCAGCAGUGAGGAAUAUUGGUCAAUGGGCGAGAGCCUGAACCAGCCAAGUCGCGUGAAAGGAUGAAGGUUCUAUGGAUUGUAAACUUCUUUUGUCCGAGGGUAAAAAAGGCUACGUGUAGCUUCUUGCAAGUAUCGGACGAAUAAGCAUCGGCUAACUCCGUGCCAGCAGCCGC
rnacentral:rRNA from 1 species